ACGUACACUCCUACGGGAGGCAGCAGUGGGGAAUAUUGGACAAUGGGCGCAAGCCUGAUCCAGCCAUGCCGCGUGAGUGAUGAAGGCCCUAGGGUUGUAAAGCUCUUUCACCGGUGAAGAUAAUGACGGUAACCGGAGAAGAAGCCCCGGCUAACUUCGUGCCAGCAGCCGCGGUAAUACGAAGGGGGCUAGCGUUGUUCGGAUUUACUGGGCGUAAAGCGCACGUAGGCGGACUAUUAAGUCAGGGGUGAAAUCCCGGGGCUCAACCCCGGAACUGCCUUUGAUACUGGUAGUCUUGAGUUCGAGAGAGGUGAGUGGAAUUCCGAGUGUAGAGGUGAAAUUCGUAGAUAUUCGGAGGAACACCAGUGGCGAAGGCGGCUCACUGGCUCGAUACUGACGCUGAGGUGCUAAAGCGUGGGGAGCAAACAGGAUUAGAAACCCUGGUAGUCCCAUGAU
rnacentral:rRNA from 1 species